GAUGAACGCUGGCGGCAGGCUUAACACAUGCAAGUCGAGGGGCAGCGGGUAGAUGAGCUUGCUCAUUUAUGCCGGCGACCGGCGCACGGGUGAGUAACACGUAUGCAACCUGCCCGUCUCAGGGGGAUAAUCGUCGGAAACGGCGUCUAAUACCCCGUAUGAAGCUGGACGGCAUCGUCUGGUUUUGAAAGAAUAUCGGAGACGGAUGGGCAUGCGGCGCAUUAGCUGGUUGGCGGGGUAACGGCCCACCAAGGCGACGAUGCGUAGGGGUUCUGAGAGGAAGGUCCCCCACACUGGUACUGAGACACGGACCAG
rnacentral:rRNA from 1 species